GCACUGUAGCUGAGCCAAUGGAGUUACUCGUAGUCGAGAGGCCGGCAUCACUGGAGUGGUGGCGCAGCUGUUUCCUCCGGAUAUCCAUCAAAUAUUGAGAAGAAAGAAUAUCAGGAGCAAAGUGUUCUAAGUUGCUGUUCAGAACGUAAAGAUGCGAACCCCAAAUCAGUGGUUUGUUCAUUCUUCAUGCAAGAGCAAUGCACUAAAGGAGAGAAGCAAGCUGUGGUGAUCAGUGACUUUGGUGAAAGCUAAGAAGGUUCAAACAAAUUUGCAAAUGAUAUACAACUUCUAAGGCAAAUCUUUCAUCUGCAGUUUUGACUCUAUCCCAAUGGAGAAAUUGUUAAUCUUUUAGUAAGCAUUAAGAAUUGUAUAGAAAAUGCAGAAUUUGUUUGGAAGAAAAGCAUGGAUAAUUCAUUUGUGAUGAAUGUUGACUCCACAAAGGGUUUGUUCAAGUAUUUGGAGACGGUUGUUAAAUUGCCUUUUAAGGAGGACUGAGGAGGGAGGAAGUAAAAGGGAGCUGUGACUGUGGUACGUAUCUGAAAGCAAGUGUUAGAGAGGGAGUGGAGAACGCAUAAGCAAGC
rnacentral:lncRNA from 1 species